CGCGUAGGGUGCAAGCGUUGUCCGGAAUCAUUGGGCGUAAAGAGCUCGUAGGCGGCUUAGUAAGUCGGGUGUGAAAACCCCAGGCUCAACCUGGGGACGCCACCCGAUACUGCUAUAGCUAGAGUCCAGUAGGGGAGUGUGGAAUUCCCAGUGUAGCGGUGAAAUGCGCAGAUAUUGGGAGGAACACCAGCGGCGAAGGCGGCACUCUGGGCUGGUACUGACGCUGAGGAGCGAAAGCGUGGGUAGCGAACAGG
rnacentral:rRNA from 1 species